GUCCACGCCGUAAACGAUGAUCACUCGUUGUUGGCAAUACACAGUCAGCGACUGAGCGAAAGCAUUAAGUGAUCCACCUGGGGAGUACGUUCGCAAGAAUGAAACUCAAAGGAAUUGACGGGGGCCCGCACAAGCGGAGGAACAUGUGGUUUAAUUCGAUGAUACGCGAGGAACCUUACCUAGGCUUAAAUGUAGAGUGCAUGAGGUGGAAACACUUCUUUCCUUCGGGACUCUUUACAAGGUGCUGCAUGGUUGUCGU
rnacentral:rRNA from 1 species